UGCCUCUCCUCCGGCACAGUUAUCAGCAGCAACAUCCCCAGUAGGGGGCGCCAUGCUCCAAAAGGCCUGCUCAGUAGCAGCAAAGCUAGACAGGAGGUGCCAUUAUCUCCCUCACAUGCAGUUCAACACUGGCCCAGACUGGGCUUGAUCUUUAUACUGAGAAAGGAGCUUGUGUCCCUUUGGUGGGAGUGCAAUCUGCAGUUUCCCAACUGCUGCCAGAGGACAACUUGGCCGGCUCAGGACCCAGCACCUAAGGAGCAGUGAGGUUGCUGUGGUGCUGAGGAGCUGACCUGCGGAGUACAAACUACACUAGUAGUUACCCCUCAGCAGAGACUUGGGUUACAUCAGAGUCAUCAGAGCAAGAAUCCUUCACUUCAGCCUUUCACAGCCCCAGAGCGCUAUAAAUACUGGGACUCUGUCUCCAUCUGGCCCAGAGUCAACCCCCCAACUCAUUGUGCCUGGUGUGUCUUCCCUGGAGUGAGUGAGUGAUACUGAGACCCCAGCCGAUCCUCAGCUAUGAGGAGCCUGUAUCUGCUUUUUGCGGUUGGUGUCCUCCUCUUCCAGCCUGCUCCAGGGGACGGUCAAAUGAGAGAAAUCCCUGCCUGUGUUUCUGUAGACGGCUACUGCGUGGAGGCUUUCAAGAUGUGUCCCUCAGGUG